AACGAACGCUGGCGGCAUGCCUAACACAUGCAAGUCGAACGAGAUCUUCGGGUCUAGUGGCGCACGGGUGCGUAACGCGUGGGAAUCUGCCCUUUGGUUCGGAAUAACAGUUGGAAACGACUGCUAAUACCGGAUGAUGACGAAAGUCCAAAGAUUUAUCGCCAGAGGAUGAGCCCGCGUAGGAUUAGCUAGUUUGUGUGGUAAAGGCGCACCAAGGCGACGAUCCUUAGCUGGUCUGAGAGGAUGAUCAGCCACACUGGGACUGAGACACGGCCUAGACUCCUACGGGAGGCAGCAGUGGGGAAUAUUGGACAAUGGGCGAAAGCCUGAUCCAGCAAUGCCGCGUGAGUGAUGAAGGCCUUAGGGUUGUAAAGCUCUUUUACCCGGGAUGAUAAUGACAGUACCGGAAGAAUAAGCUCCGGCUAACUCCGUGCCAGCCGCCGCAGUAA
rnacentral:rRNA from 1 species